CGCGUAGGCGGACCUGCAAGUCGGGGGUGAAAGCCCGAGGCUCAACCUCGGAACUGCCUUCGAUACUGCGGGUCUCGAGUCCGGGAGAGGUGAGUGGAAUUCCUAGUGUAGAGGUGAAAUUCGUAGAUAUUAGGAAGAACACCAGUGGCGAAGGCGGCUCACUGGCCCGGUACUGACGCUGAGGCGCGAAAGCGUGGGGAGCAAACAGGAUUAGAUACCCUGGUAGUCCACGCCGUAAACUAUGGGUGCUAGCCGUCGGUCGGCAUGCCGGUCGGUGGCGCAGCAAACGCAUUAAGCACCCCGCCUGGGGAGUACGGUCGCAGGAUUAAA
rnacentral:rRNA from 1 species